rnacentral:rRNA from 1 species
AACGAACGCUGGCGGCAUGCCUAACACAUGCAAGUCGAACGAAAAGUUGAGGUGUAUUCUCGUCCGGCUUCAUAACGCGUGGGAACCUGCACUUGGGUUCGGAAUAACUCUCAGAAAGGGAUGCCUAUACCAAAUAAGAUCUACUAACCCAAGAUUUAUCGCCUUUGGUGGUUCCCUCGUUGGAUUAGCUUGUUGGUAGGGUAAAAGCCUACCAAGGCGACGAUGCAUAACUGGUAUGGGAGGAUGAUCACCCACACUGGGAGUGAGACACGGCCCAGACUCAUACGGGAGGCAGCAGUGGGGAAUAUUGGAAAAUGGCCGAAAGCAUGAUCCAGCACUGCCGGGUGAGUGCUGAAGGCCUUAGAGUUGUAAAGCUCUUUUACCCGGGAUGAUCAUGACAGUACCGGGUGAAUAAGCUACGGCUAACUCCGUG